rnacentral:rRNA from 1 species
UACAGAGGAGCCAAGCGUUGUCCGGAUUGACUGGGCGUAAAGCGCACGCAGGCGGUCUGGCGCGUGGGGUGUGAAAUCUGGCCGCUUAACGGCCAGGCGCCAUCCCAUACGGCUAGACUGGAGGGCUGCAGAGGUCGAUGGAAUUGCCGGUGUAGUGGUGAAAUGCGUAGAGAUCGGCAGGAACACCCAGGGGGAAACCAGCCGACUG